UUGACCUCGGAUCAGGUAGGGAUACCCGCUGAACUUAAGCAUAU
rnacentral:rRNA from 117 species